rnacentral:piRNA from 1 species
CCCACAUGUUUGUGCUCAUCCUGUCGGUU